rnacentral:rRNA from 1 species
ACUCGAGUGGCGAACGGGUGAGUAACACGUGGGUGAUCUGCCCUGCACUUCGGGAUAAGCUUGGGAAACUGGGUCUAAUACCGGAUAGGAGCCAUCUUUAGUGUGGUGGUUGGAAAGUUUUUUCGGUGUAGGAUGAGCUCGCGGCCCAUCAGCUUGUUGGUGGGGUAAUGGCCUACCAAGGCGGCGACGGGUAGCCGGACUGAGAGGUUGGUCGGCCACAUUGGGACUGAGAUACGGCCCAG